rnacentral:rRNA from 1 species
GGGGUUUGACAUCCUCUGACCACUAUAGAAAUAUAGUCUUUUCAGUAAUGAAACAGAGAGAC